AGUGCUUUUGCUGGUGUUGAAGUUGGCUCGAUGCUUAUUUGUUUCGUCGAUUUCAGUUAUUCAGGAUUCACUCCACGAACAUAAACAACGGGUGGACUUGCCAAAAAGUACUUUUCCUUCGGAUAAAGAGAGAAGACAUUUCUACCUUAGGUUAAAGAGAGAGAGAGAAGACAUUUCUGUAGAGCAUCAGGUUUAAUCCUUAAUGGGCUUAUAUGCUUAUAGAGAUUGAAUGAUCUUAUUUGUUUGUUAUUCUGUUUAAAUCAAACUUGAACUAAAUUUAUUGUUUGUAUUGGUAUUA